rnacentral:lncRNA from 10 species
GACUAACUGAAGCAGCUUCUGGCUUUAACAUCUUAAACAUUAACUUUAAGGUGCUGUCUCAAAAACAUACAUUCACUUCCCCUCACACACCGUGCAGGUUAUGCUAAUACUAAAUCCCCAGUAGCUCUAAAUAAUUUUUACCAAUUAAAAGUUUUUGUUCUUAUUUUGGAUUCUCCUACUAGCUCUGGAACUUUGGUUAUUAAAAUCAUGAAGUGUACUGGGAUGGAGAUAUAUUUUAUUAAGUAAAGUUUGUGCUACAUUCAUGGUUAAUUAACUUCUAAUGGGGUUAAGGUGCUGAAAUGAUUUUUUUUUUAAGUGGCUGGAAAGGAGCUCGUGUUUUAGAGAUAUAACUAGGUUUGGAUGCCUAGGGAUUUAGAAUUGCAUGCCAUCCCUAGGAUCCUAAUUCCCAGGCUGCAUUUAUUUAGGAAGCUCCUUCUAAACUAGAGGGGUUCUCAGCUCUUCAUUGCCAAAAAGGCCAUCUGCUAUUGGCCACGUCCUUUUGGUGGUCCAUUUACCAGCCACCCCCAUCCCUGAUCCUUCUUUCUUGCUGGUAGAAGCUGCCCCCACAAUACAGAAGUUAAAGAUGCGUGAUGCUUACAUUCUCACCUUCCUUCCCGCUAGGGCACGGGCCUGAGACCAUGUUCUAGAUCCUGAAAUGUGAGAAGAAAUCUCCUAGUGGAUUCUGGCAUGAGGCAAGGGAGGAGAAUGUCCCCUUUGUGCCCUUGGACACAGUUAUCAGGGGAACUGACGCCUGGAACUGCAUCUGCAUUGUGAUCUUGACACUACCGGGGCAAGCAUUAGGCAAAGCCAUGGCCCUGAGAAUGACGUGGACAGAAAUCCUGGACAAGGCUGCUCAACAUCAUCCUCACCUACCAGUCUCCCAACUGGUCUGUUGGCUCCACUGUAGCUGGAUCGAGCAUUCUAAAACAAAACUGGGAUCACCUAACAACUUCAAAUCACCCAGUGGGACAAGCAGACAUCCAUAUGCCACAAAAAAGAACCUUCACCCUUGUUUCACACGGUCUACAAAAAUCAGUUACAAUUGAAUUAUAUCUCUAAAUGUAAGAGCCAAAACUAUACAACUUCUGGAAGAAAACAUAAAAGAAAAUCACUGCAGUAUUGGUCUAGGAAAGAAUUUCUUAGAUAGGAUACAAAAAACAAUCCAGGAAAGGACAAAUUGAUAAUUUAACUUACAAAACAAAAAACUUCUGCUGGCUGGGCGCAGUGGCUCAUGCCUGUAAUCUCAGCACUUUGGGAGGCCGAGGCGGGCGGAUCAUGAGGUCAGGAGAUUGAGACUAUCCCAGCUAACAUGGUGAAACCCCGUCUCUACUAAAAAUACAAAAAAUUAGCCAGGCGUGGUGGCGGGCACCUGUAGUCCCAGCUACUUGGGAGGCUGAGGCAGGAGAAUGGCAUGAACCUGGGAGGCGGAGCUUGCGGUGAGCCGAGAUAGUGCCACUCCAGCCUGGGCGACAGUGCAAGACUGUCUCAAAAAAAAUAAAAAAAUAAAAAAUAAAAAAAUAAAAAAACUUCUGCUGUUUGAAAGGUACCAUUUAAAAAGUGAAAAGAAUGGAGAAAAUACUGGCAAAACACAUCUCUACUAAAGGAUUGGUAAUAUAAAUAACUCUCAGCACUCAAUGAUAAGAAAAAAACACACAAAAAGAUGGGCACAUGAUUUGAAUAGACACUAUACAAAACACUGUAUAUGCACAGCAAAUAAGCACAUGAAGAAGUGCUCAACAUUAUUAGCCAUGAAGGAAAUGCAAAUUAAAAUCAGAAUGAGAUACCACUACACAACAUUAGAAGCUGCCCCCACAAUAUCAGGAUGGCAGAAAUGAAAAAGACAAACAACAGCAAGUGUUGGGCAAGAUGUAGAGCAACUGGAACUCUUACACAUUUUUGGUGCAGACACAAAUAAUAUACUCACUUUGAAAAUAGUUUGACAGUUCCUGGUAAACAUAUACUGAGAUAUGACCUAGCGGUCUCUCUUUUAGUUAUUUACCCAAGAGAAAUGAAAACUUACAUUUCCAGAAAAACCUUUACCCAAAUACUCAUAGCAGUUUUAUUCAUAAUUGCCCAAAACUGGUACUAGCCUAAAUUUUCGCCAGCCAGAGAAUGGCUGAACAAGUGGAUGUACACCUACCCUAAUUAAAGUAUCAUGCUAUCCAGUCACUAAACAUGGAUGAUUCACAAGGACAUUAUGCCAAGUUAACUACUGUGUGAUUCCAUUCAGAUGACAAUCUUGAGAGCAACAUGGCUGGGUGUGGUGACUCACACCUGUAACCCCAGCACUUUGGGAGGCUGAGGAGGGAGGAUUGCUUUGAGGCCAAGAGUUCAAGACCAGCGUGGGUAACACAGGGAGAUCUCCAUCUCUCCAAAAAACAAAAAAAGAAAGAAAGAAAAGAAAAGCAAAACCUAAGAACUGAAAGAGGAUCAGUUGCCUGGAGUAGGAAGGGGGACUGACAAGGAGCAUGAGAAAACUUUUUGGGGUGAAAACUAUUUGUAUUAAUGUCUUUACUGGUUCCAUAACUAUAUACCUUUCCAAACUCCACAAAUUGUACAUUAAAAAAUGAUAAAUUUUCUGGUCAGCAAAUUAUACCUAAGUAACCAGCCUGAAUAAACAUCUUUCUGUGAGCCUCUGUUCUGGUUGUAAAGACAUUUUGAUCCAAGCAACUUCAGAAAAGGAGAGUUGAUAUUAAGACAAUAUAAGGAAAAUGGGGCCAGGUGUGGUGGCUCACACCUGUAAUCCCAGCACUUUGGGAGGCCGAGGCAGGUGGAUCACCUGA